rnacentral:piRNA from 1 species
UCGGUAAUCAAAUGGUAGC